rnacentral:rRNA from 1 species
CUACGGGCUGCAGCAGUGAGGAAUAUUGCACAAUGGGGGGAACCCUGAUGCAGCAACGCCGCGUGGAGGAUGACGCAUUUCGGUGUGUAAACUCCUUUUAUAUGUCAAGAAAAUGACGGUAGCAUAUGAAUAAGCACCGGCUAACUCCGUGCCAGCAGCCGCGGUAAUACGGAGGGUGCAAGCGUUACUCGGAAUCACUGGGCGUAAAGGACGCGUAGGCGGGUUGGAAAGUCAGGUGUGAAAUCCUACAGCUUAACUAUAGAACUGCACUUGAAACUUCUAAUCUAGAGUAUGGGAGGGGGAGAUGGAAUUAGCGGUGUAGGGGUAAAAUCCGUAGAUAUCACUAGGAAUACCUAAAGCGAAGGCGAUCUCCUGGAACAUUACUGACGCUAAGGCGUGAAAGCGUGGGGAGCAAACAGGAUUAGAUACCCCAGUAGUC